UGAUGAGGCAGUGGGGACCCUCAAAGGCCGGGCAGCAUCCGAUGAGGCUGUCACACAGACAAGGCCUACUCCUGUACUGGAAGCAAUGCAGCCCCCUCUGUGGGGCACCACAUCGGCACUGGUAGGACGCACAGCUCUGCUGGUCUGAAUCUACAUGCAUCUCAUUCUUCAUUAACUCGUCUGCUUAACCCUCCUCAUUUUUGUCCAUGCUUAUGUAUGAAUGAUUUUUGUAAAAAUCUUACACAUCUGUAAUAUCAUGAGAAAUAAAGAUGAUGCUAUGUUCACAAAAUGCUUACUCAUUCUCUACUGAUGCUCGGGUAGAAUUAUCAGCUUAUAUUCAUUUUAUUUAUUGCUAAUUUUUUAGCAGUGGCACCACCUUGUGGACACUGCUACAUGAAAUGAGAAGCUGCCUAACAUCAACAACAGCAACUAAACCAGAACAGUCAAUUCUGGGGAAAAAAAAAAAAGAUCAAGCAAAGCAAACUACAAAUUCGAUUCCUAGGAAUCAAGAUAUGAAAUAAAAUUUACAAUAAAUACUGGCCUGAAUGUAAAUAGUUGUCUUCUUGGCUCUUUUCUCCUGAGCAUCAAACAAGAAGAGUGGUAGUUUCCAAAAAUAUUUUUGUUCCCUCUUGAGACAGAGCUGAGUUAACUGAAUAAAUACACACAGUUAACAAGCUUCUCUGGGGCUGCUUGCCUGACAUCUCAGGUCACUUUCAGGAAAAAAAGAGGUCUAGCAUUAGAGAAAACCAAAUCAAGCCAUACUGGGAAGUAAACCAGCACAGCAAAGGCAGAACAGACCACCAGUCAGGGAAGCAAACUCAUCUCCGGUAGAGUUUGCAGACCUUACCCUAGAGCUGAGAUUUGGGGACAGGUUACAUGGAUUUCUCAGCUACGUUGUUUUCUAUUCCUAUGGUUGUGCACCCUCAGUAAAUGAGAUAAAUAAGCACUAUUCCCAUCCUCUCCUGCAUAGGUUUGGAAGCAGAGGGAUCAGGACAGCCAAGGCAUUGACAUGGGCUCUGAAGAACCUGUUGGCUGAAAAUAAUCCAAUUUAUAUUUACUGCAAGUCUAGUGUUACAAUGAACUCAGUCCAUCAAAUUACUUCUCAUCUCCAGCAGGGUGCCUUUUCUCUUGGUUAGAGGGAAUAUGAAGGGCAAAAAGAUUUCCAAAGAAGGAGGGUCUGGUAAUUCUCAACAGUGCAAAUUAGUUCUCAGCAUCUUCAAGAUGGAAAAAACACAGGUAAACAUUCACAUCCCUAUGAGGCUGAUCUAAAAAAUAUCGUUCAACAUAAAUCCUUUUGUCUAAUAAAAAUACAUUUCUG
rnacentral:lncRNA from 1 species